rnacentral:snoRNA from 15 species
GGCCUUUGUGUUGCCCAUUCACGUACGGAAACUAGUGAGCGUGGUGUCAAGAAAGGUGCAAGUUAAACACCCUCACUCACAGCCACGUUAUGCUUUUGAAUUUGGUUUCUUUGGCAUAGGAGCUGCCUAAGGAACAGUU